rnacentral:sRNA from 1 species
GGAUUUUGGCUAAGUUAAUAAGACUAACACGUGAUGAAAAUUGCCAUUAAUAAGCUAAGGCUUGCCUUGAAAGCUAGUUACCAUAAAGAUAAUCAUAUGCCAUAGCAACGAUUUCGUUUAAUUUUUUUGGAGCAAAUAUUUUUUGUGAGGCUAUGACUGUGCUGGGCAAGAAACAUGUGGAGUUGUGGCCGAAACAGAGGCCAAGUAAAGUCAACAAAAAA